GACGAACGCUGGCGGCGUGCCUAAUACAUGCAAGUCGAACGCAGUGGGUACGGGUUAGUAACACGUGGGUAACCUCCCAUCAGAGGGGAUAACACUUGGAAACAGGUGCUAAACCGAUACUGAUGGAUGGACCCUCGGUGCAUUAGUUAGGUGGUGAGGUAACGGCUCACCAAGGCCACGAUGGAUAGCUGGUCUGAGAGGGGGAUCGGCCACACUGGGACUGAGACACGGCCCAGACUCCUACGGGAGGCAGCAGUAGGGAAUCUUGGGCAAUGGACGAAAGUCUGACCGAGCAACGCCGCGUGAGUGAAGAAGGUUUUCGGAUUGUAAAGCACUGUUGUUAGAGAAGCGGUAUCUAACCAGAAAGCCCCGGCUAACUACGUGCCAGCAGCCGCGGUAAUUC
rnacentral:rRNA from 1 species